AAAGGUAAGCUACUAAGAGCGAAUGGUGGAUGCCUUGACUGGUAAAGGCGAUGAAGGACGUACUAGACUGCGAUAAGCUACGGGGAGCUGUCAAGAAGCUUUGAUCCGUAGAUUUCCGAAUGGGGCAACCCAAUGUAUAGAGAUAUACAUUACCUAUAUAGGAGCGAA
rnacentral:rRNA from 1 species